GGUUCCGGCAUCGAUGAAGAACGCAGCGAAAUGCGAUAACUAGUGUGAAUUGCAGAAUUCCGUGAAUCAUCGAGUCUUUGAACGCACAUUGCGCCCCCUGGUAUUCCGGGGGGCAUGCCUGUCCGAGCGUCAUUGCUGCCCAUCAAGCACGGCUUGU
rnacentral:rRNA from 1 species